AGAUCACCUCCUGCUACAGGUUCCCGGAGACGGGAUCAAAAGGGAAUUCGGAAAGAGGGAAACUUCUCAGGCCGGAGCUGCCCCCGCAACUGUAUCUGGCGAGCAUGCCUGUCAAAUCCCACUGGACCCAGGUCCGGGAAGGGGACGGGCGAUGUGAUGACCCAGGAGCCAGGAGACCUGCCCGUAGCUGUCGUUCUAU
rnacentral:ncRNA from 2 species